rnacentral:rRNA from 1 species
UGCAAGUCGAACGGCAGCACGGGAGCAACCCUGGUGGCGAGUGGCGAACGGGUGAGUAAAGCAUCGGAACGUGCCCAGUCGUGGGGGAUAACGUAGCGAAAGCUACGCUAAUACCGCAUACGAUCUGUGGAUGAAAGCGGGGGACCGUAAGGCCUCGCGCGAUUGGAGCGGCCGAUGUCAGAUUAGGUAGUUGGUGGGGUAAAGGCUCACCAAGCCGACGAUCUGUAGCUGGUCUGAGAGGACGACCAGCCACACUGGGACUGAGACACGGCCCANACUCCUACGGGAGGCAGCAGUGGGGAAUUUUGGACAAUGGGCGCAAGCCUGAUCCAGCAAUGCCGCGUGCAGGAUGAAGGCCUUCGGGUUGUAAACUGCUUUUGUACGGAGCGAAAAGGCUUCCACUAAUACUGGGGGCUCAUGACGGUACCGUAAGAAUAAGCACCGGCUAACUACGUGCCAGCAGCCGCGGUAAUACGUAGGGUGCAAGCGUUAAUCGGAAUUACUGGGCGUAAAGCGUGCGCAGGCGGUCUUGUAAGACAGGUGUGAAAUCCCCGGGCUUAACCUGGGAACUGCACUUGUGACUGCAAGGCUGGAGUACGGCAGAGGGGGAUGGAAUUCCGCGUGUAGCAGUGAAAUGCGUAGAUAUGCGGAGGAACACCGAUGGCGAAGGCAAUCCCCUGGGCCUGUACUGACGCUCAUGCACGAAAGCGUGGGGAGCAAACAGGAUUAGAUACCCUGGUAGUCCACGCCCUAAACGAUGUCAACUGGUUGUUGGGNCNUCACUGACUCNGUANCGAAGCUAACGCGUGAAGUU